rnacentral:rRNA from 1 species
UACGGAGGAUGCGAGCGUUAUCCGGAUUUAUUGGGUUUAAAGGGUGCGUAGGCGGAUCGUUAAGUCAGUGGUCAAAUUGAGGGGCUCAACCCCUUCCCGCCAUUGAAACUGGCGAUCUUGAGUGGAAGAGAAGUAUGCGGAAUGCGUGGUGUAGCGGUGAAAUGCAUAGAUAUCACGCAGAACCCUGAUUGCGAAGGCAGCAUGCCGGCUUCCGACUGACGCUGAAGCACGAAAGCGUGGGGAUCGAACAGG